AUGUAUAGCAUACUGUAUAGAAAAGUACCAAGUAUUUUCUCCUCUCUGUGUUCUUUCACUAUUCCUUCUUUCUCUCCACCUAGGCACACUGGCAAUUUCAAGAGCUACACUGACUGGGACUGUUCCCAUUUGGAAACAGGGAAAAUCAAGAUGAACAAUCUGCUGUCACCAAAGACAGAGGAAAGUAGUAAGAACACUGAGAUGACGAGCAGUCCAAAGAAGACUAAUAAGCACUCCCUGCAAGAAUGUAAUGUAAUGUUUGCAAAGACAUGCAACCACCAAGUGGAUGCGUCACAGAAGCUAAGGCUUUCUUUGAAAGAAUCCAUUGCUGACUUCUGUGUCUUGUUCCUAUUACUGACAGGAACUAUGAUGUGGACAAGCUUCUAG
rnacentral:lncRNA from 1 species